GCUCCACUCGUCUAGUGGCUAGGAUGACACCCUUUCAAGGUGUAGAAGAGGGAUCGAAACCCUCGUGGAGUG
rnacentral:tRNA from 1 species